rnacentral:lncRNA from 1 species
UUUUCCUUUUCCACUUUGAGUCCUUCAUGUACCUAUGGGUUUAUUGGCUUACAUGUUACCAAUUUUUCUCCAAUCAAGCCAAUCUUUGCUGCCACAAGGUAUUUCUCUAAGUCACUAACUCAUUUUCAAAGACUACUCAAGCCAAAAAUAAGAAUUCUUACCGUUCCUUGCUUGAAUCACCAAAACCAAGCUUUUUCUUCCUUUCUCUCUUUUUCUUUCUUCUCCUCCUAGGGUUUAGGUGUGUUGGAAAUUGGGGUUAAAGGCUGUAAAUUUAGUGCUCAAGAAGUUUGGAGAAGAAAGAAAAGAAAACAUGGAAAGGAAAAUGAAGAAAACUUGGUUUCAUGGUGGACAAAGAGAAAAUGGCAUGGAAGCUUCAAGAAUGGUG